rnacentral:rRNA from 1 species
AUGAACGCUGGCGGCGUGCCUAAUACAUGCAAGUCGAGCGAACAGACGAGGAGCUUGCUCCUCUGACGUUAGCGGCGGACGGGUGAGUAACACGUGGAUAACCUACCUAUAAGACUGGGAUAACUUCGGGAAACCGGAGCUAAUACCGGAUAAUAUAUUGAACCGCAUGGUUCAAUAGUGAAAGACGGUUUUGCUGUCACUUAUAGAUGGAUCCGCGCCGCAUUAGCUAGUUGGUAAGGUAACGGCUUACCAAGGCAACGAUGCGUAGCCGACCUGAGAGGGUGAUCGGCCACACUGGAACUGAGACACGGUCCAGACUCCUACGGGAGGCAGCAGUAGGGAAUCUUCCGCAAUGGGCGAAAGCUUGACGGAGCAACGCCGCGUGAGUGAUGAAGGUCUUCGGAUCGUAAAACUCUGUUAUUAGGGAAGAACAAAUGUGUAAGUAACUAUGCACGUCUUGACGGUAGCUAAUCAGAAAGCCACGGCUAACUACGUG